CCCACGGCUCACCAGGACCAGUGCAAGGUUGGCUGACGUUCAGCUUUCCCCAGGCUGAUCAUCGGGCCACAGCAUCGCCUACUGGGGACAAGUACUCAGUGUUGCUGGAACCCAGGUGUCCCCUCAUGGUGUCCCAUUUUCCCUGUGCUCAGGCCUCAGGGAUAUUCAUCCUCAUGGUCUCCUGUCAGCUUAACGUUAUGCCUUGUGCAUUCAGGCCUGAAUCCACCUGAGAUCCCUGUUAACGUGUGGGAUCAGGCCCCUCCGAAAUCCGACCGGAUGCAUAGGACCAGAGAUUGAGGCAAGCAUCUGCAGGAGUGGCAAUUCAACUGGGGAAGAAAAACACGUUUUCUCUCUGUCUCCGCUGACUUGGUAAGUGAAGAAAGUUG
rnacentral:lncRNA from 1 species